GUUAUUUCGUUCCAAGAGAGGGAAUGUUGGACAGUUGUUGACUCAGAUUUCACAACAGACCAAUACUACUGACCCAACUGCAAUCCGGACACAGGUGCUCAGAGGGCUUCCAAUCAUCCUGGGGACAAUCCUUCAACCUUCUUCAAAGCAGGCUUUGAAUCAGAUGCUGAUUUUUUCCGUGACCUUGACAUCGGGAUUCUUCUCACUGAGCGUGAAGAGGCUGUGCUCACAUCUGCCCAGCAUCCAAGUCCAACCUUGUUGAAAAUUAUCAUUGAGGGAGAAGUCGUGAUGGAAAACAUCCAAGAUCUGCCUAAAGCAAUGUGCAUUCUGUUUGGACUCACGUAUGCAC